AUUUAAUAUAAAGAAUAAAAAAAAUCAAUCUUUUAGUUAAUAGAUAGCGAUCAAUUAGGACAUCACAACAUAUAUAAAGGACAACACAUUCCAGGAGUUUUUAAUAAAAAUUGGAACUUCUAAAUGGCUACAGAAACUUUAUCCAUAGCACCAAUUCCUAUCUUGUUCCAUAUUUUCCCCAAGUAACGUUUCAGAAACGUACUGUUCCAUGUCCCUGAAAGCAAAUAUAAAAAUGAACCCCCACAGUUACGAUCGACUGCUUGUUAAAACCAAAUUCUCUCCAAGGAAGCAAUCCCUGGAGAAGUGAUAUAUCUCAUAGCAUAGCUUGGUGCAGACAAUGGUCUUUUCGCUAUAUCAGAGGUCGAACUUUCUUAUAUCUACAUUUUGCCAAUGACUCCUGAUCGAAAUUCCGCAAGAUUGGCUAAAACUCCGGUAUCAAGAUUAAAUUCUACAACUAGGGCAUAUAUUCAAAUAUUAAGAAUUACAAAUAUUCCAGGGAUAAAAUAUUUAACCUAUUAAUUUUUUUAAAUGUUUAUAAAUAGAGCUGCUCUAACUUGAUUACUAUUUUUCAAAUUCUAUUAUAAUUAAAUUUUUCCUAAGUUGCGUUAAUUUGUAAACUUAAUUACUUUCAUUAUAAGCUAAAAUGUUUUUGAAUGAGAACACCCUAUUUUGAUUUGUUUUAAGUAUUUGGAGGCUUUGUUAUUUUUCGUAUUUUAUUCUCGAUUUUUGUUUAUUUGGGUUGUUUUUUUGACUAUUUAGCCGAUGCUAAAUAGCGGCCGAUCUAGGGCACAGCCUAAAGGGAGUUUUCUCAUAAUAAAAUUGAUCGAACAUGCAACAAAAUUAUUAUAAUCCAAGUUUAUUUUGUUAUUUUUGUUAACGUGCAAUAAUUUUUUGGCUUAUAACAAUAGCGCGUAUAUUUUACUUUCGGAUUAUAUUUAACUGCUAGUGGGUUAAAUUGUGAGACUCAUUAUGAGUCUUGUUUAUUUCAGUGUGAUCAUAUUAAUUAUUAUUUUCAUUUAUAAUCCAAAUUAUAUUUAUUAAA